GCUUAUUUUCAUCUAUUAUUUGAUCCUGUUAAGUUCCAUAGCCAUUGGAAUCAAUCUGGUAGCCUAACCUCAGAUCAAACACCUUGUGUGCACUCACUAAAUUGGCUUCUUUGACCCCUUCCACUUUUACCCUUGAGCUCCACUUUCUACCGCAGCUAUCUCUAGUUACAUUUUACCUCCACUAACAUUCCCAUGGCCACUGGUCAAUUA
rnacentral:lncRNA from 1 species